rnacentral:piRNA from 1 species
UAGGAAUACAGUGCUAGUUGAUUGUCAGGU